GAUGAACGCUGGCGGCGUGCCUAAUACAUGCAAGUCGAGCGAACAGACGAGGAGCUUGCUCCUCUGACGUUAGCGGCGGACGGGUGAGUAACACGUGGAUAACCUACCUAUAAGACUGGGAUAACUUCGGGAAACCGGAGCUAAUACCGGAUAAUAUAUUGAACCGCAUGGUUCAAUAGUGAAGGACGGUUUUGCUGUCACUUAUAGAUGGAUCCGCGCCGCAUUAGCUAGUUGGUAAGGUAACGGCUUACCAAGGCAACGAUGCGUAGCCGACCUGAGAGGGUGAUCGGCCACACUGGAACUGAGACACGGUCCAGACUCCUACGGGAGGCAGCAGUAGAGAAUCUUCCGCAAUGGGCGAAAGCCUGACGGAGCAACGCCGCGUGAGUGAUGAAGGUCUUCGGAUCGUAAAACUCUGUUAUUAGGGAAGAACAAAUGUGUAAGUAACUAUGCACGUCUUGACGGUACCUAAUCAGAAAGCCACGGCUAACUACGUG
rnacentral:rRNA from 1 species